UCCGACCGCGUGAUUUAUACGUUCAUAUGUUUGAUUAAUAAAAUAUAAUUUUUAUCGAUAUUUAUAACUAAACCAAUGCAGAUCCGCAAAGGUGGCCAUCCAAAUUUGGCCGCAAUUAAUUUUAAUUAAAAUGUAAUUAAUUAUUUAUUUUUGAACAAUUACGUUCACUUGUACGCAUGCGCAGUAGCAUAAAAACGACAAGCAGCUGGGAUGCUCUAUCUUUAUUCGACAUGGGGUGUUUAUCUUAAGUUUCUCUCGCUUUUAUUUAUCUUUAAUCGUUGGCAGUCACUAUUUGCGGGCAUUUUUGCAUAGGCACCUAUAUCUCAUCAUGUAGGGAAAGAAUUAAUCUUCAAUUUGGUAUGUAUAACAUGAUAAUACAUUAUGAACGUAUAUAUUUAACGAAAUUAUACCUGUUUACACCUGGCUGACAUUAGGUUGCGGCCAAGUGAGGGAUGGCACCUUGAACUUUCUCGGUAUCUCAGGUAUAUUUCUUUCUAAUGAAAUAUAUUUUUUAACAAUUACAAGUGAACGUAAUUGUUCAAAAAUAAAUAAUUAAUUACAUUUUAAUUAAAAUUAAUUGCGGCCAAAUUUGGAUGGCCACCUUUGCGGAUCUGCAUUGGUUUAGUUAUAAAUAU